GGGCGAGUGGCGGAAUAGGUAUACGCGUACGGCUUAGAACCGUAUUCCGAAAGGAUUGAGGGUUCGAGUCCCUCCCCGCCCA
rnacentral:tRNA from 1 species